AGUGUCGCGGCCGUGUUGUAAUUCACCACGCGUGCAGAGUGUAUACUCGUAUAGAAUUACGUCUCGAAUCUGCACGUUUCGCACCUUUUUUCUUUACGACGCAGCUUAUCGCAGCUGUUACGCAGUGAUGUAACCAAAUCGACCGGCUUGGAGUACUUACGUCCCUGAUGGUCAACCCCUCUCCUCGGAUCUAUUGGCCAAGUUCGACAAAAUAAACGGCUUUCAGCAACUCGUCAGUGAGUGGCGAACGGUGGAUCUGGUAGUUUGGUUUCGCUGCGUCGCAGCUGGUCGCAGUCGCGCGAAUGAUUCACGAUCAAUGAUCGCAGUAGGUGGUAUUGAUGACACUAAAGCGAACGUGACCUCCGAACAGGCCUACGAAUCCCCUCGCUUUGCUGAUUUUUGUGCUUCUUCUGCUAUCCUCGCGAAAGAGCAACGUGUUGAUUCAUUAUGCAGAAAAGUUACGACGUGAAAUCCAGCGGCGAUGUCACUGUCACAACAGUGCCACAUCAGCGUAUGCACGAGUCGGAAUCUAACAAGGCCACCGAGAACACUUCGCUGUCGCCGAAUAAUAAUCAAACUUACUUUGCCGACGUGAAGGUGCAAGUGCCGGAGACAACGACAGGGGGAUUUAGUUUUAGGAAAUUAUGGGCCUUCACAGGACCUGGCUUUUUAAUGUCCAUUGCUUACUUGGAUCCUGGCAACAUAGAAUCAGAUUUGCAAUCUGGAGUGGUAGCAAAAUACAAGUUAUUAUGGAUACUACUAAGCGCUACUGUCCUAGGUCUGGUUAUGCAAAGACUAAGCGCACGCCUCGGCGUAGUGACUGGUCUGCAUCUAGCAGAGAUGUGUUACAGACAAUACAAAAAAGUACCUAGACUCAUUUUAUGGAUAAUGAUUGAAAUAGCGAUUAUCGGUAGCGAUAUGCAAGAAGUAAUAGGAACGGCUAUUGCCCUUUAUCUCUUAUCUAAUAAAGCAAUUCCUAUAUGGGGCGGCGUACUAAUCACCGUAGUUGACACAUUUACAUUUUUAUUUUUGGACAAAUAUGGCCUGAGGAAGUUGGAACUCUUCUUCGGUCUUUUAAUCUCAAUUAUGGCUGUGACUUUCGGCUAUGAGUACGUCGUUUCCGAUCCUCCUCAAUUAGACGUUGUAAGAGGUAUGUUUGUCCCGUGGUAUGGCGGAAUGAAUUACGACAGCAAAGUGUUACUUCAAGCUGUAGGAAUUGUCGGUGCGGUCAUUAUGCCGCAUAAUUUGUAUCUUCACAGUGCUUUAGUCAAGUCGAGAGAUAUCGAUCGAAGACAACCGGCGAAAAUCAAGGACGCCAAUAUGUAUUACUUCAUCGAAGCCAGCAUUGCGUUAUUCGUCUCGUUUGUAAUCAACGUGUUCGUCGUUGCUGUAUUCGCUCAUGGUCUCUUUCAGAAAACUAACAACGAUGUUUAUAACAUUUGCGAGGCGAGUAAUUACACCCUUGGUAUGGAAACUUUCGAGAGGAACAAUGUCACAUUAGAGGCCGAUCUCUAUAAAAGUGGGGUCUUCCUCGGCUGCUCUUUCGGCGCGGCUGCAAUGUACAUAUGGGCUGUCGGCAUCUUAGCCGCUGGUCAGUCCUCGACAAUGACCGGCACCUACGCUGGCCAAUUCGCGAUGGAAGGCUUUCUGAAUCUACAAUGGGCCCGUUGGAAGCGAGUCCUAUUCACCCGGACGAUCGCCAUAGUGCCCACAUUCCUCGUGGCGUUCUUCGCUAACAUGAGCAACCUAAGCAACAUGAACGAUAUCUUGAACGCUAUAAUGAGCUUGCAAUUACCGUUCGCCACUUUGCCCACGAUCGCGUUUACGAGCAGUGUUCAGAUUAUGGGUGAAUUCCGGAACGGAAUAGUCAACAAGAUUGUGUCGACUGCGCUGUCGGUCCUAGUGAUAAUGAUAAACAUUUUUUUCGUGGUGCAAACCGUUCAAGAGGACUUGCCACACACUUGGCCCGUGUACCUCGGUAUGUCCAUAUACGCGAUUUUAUAUCUAAUUUUCUGCACCUAUUUGGCUAUUCACAUGGCUGUGAGCAUGGGUGCAACGUCCCUCGGUAACCACUGGUUUGUCACUAAGUACAUCGGUGCGCCCGUAAGCACAACGCUCGGUAUAUCGAAUCCUGCAGUUUACGCUAGUUUCCACAAUACGUCAGAAACCUCAUUAAACGCUUAGUGGAAGUAAUGCGAUUAAAUGUACGAGACAAGUACGACUUUUGUGUCCCAACGGAAACAUGCAAAAACAAUGUCGCGUUGGAAAUGUGCUUGUAACAACUCGUGACGUCAGCAUGAUGUCUCUUGUUUGAGUUCACCACACUGACUGCAUUAUCUCGAGGUCAUAACUGAGAACAAACCCAGCAUUUACCAUACAGGAAAGUUUGGGUGGCAGUUUCACAUCUAUACCAGAAUACUAAUUUGUUAGUAAUCAACAUAUUGGUAACGGAUGCAUAAGCGAUAGCGUGCGUACGUGAUAAUCAACAUCAUUUCUGUUCAACUACAUUCAGUUAUACAGGACGUAAUUGAGGGAGGAGGUAACUGAUAACACUUUACGAUACCAGUGUAACAUUCCGUCAUUAAACGCACGCGUUAUUUCGUUGGGCAAAAAUACACAGCAGGAUGGUAAUUUAGGCACUUAUUUUAUACAUUUUACAAUAAAUUUGAGUUGAAGUAUAUUUAUACGCAUCACAUCAUAUACAAUAUUGUUACCGAUGUGUUUAGAUACAUAUUUAUGUUUGUUGCGAAUUAUAUUUAGUUCUCUAUAUAUGUGUAUAUUUUAGAUUCAUAUAAUUUUUACACGUAAUUAUUUAAAAAAACAAAUACACGUGAAAAUUAUAUUAAAGUUGUAAAUAUCAUAUCAAGGCGAGUGUUUACAUUGUGGUGUAUAAAAUAAAUACAAUAUCUGUUUGCCAAUUGCUUCAACAACAAAUGCAUUGCGACGAAGCAUUUCAUCACUUAUUACGUAACAUACUAUUUAUAAAGUUUUAGAUAUCACAAAAAUACUUUUAGUGAGAUUAUACUUUGCUCCUUAAUACUUACAAUUAUAUCAAAUGUAAUUUGACAGGGGCGUUUAGUUAUAAAAUAGUGACGAAUUUCAAAAUAGGAACAUACACAAGUGUACAAGUGCGUUUACAAGUCCAAUCAUUAUUAAAGCCAUUAAAAAGUAUAAUCUUACAAAUUUA